GGCGUUAAUAAGUAAGAUGAUACACAAAGUGCAGUUUAACGCCGAACCCAUGCACAUGAAAGGGUUACGGAUAGGACUGAAGGAGGAAGAGGAUACAGAGGGGACCUGGACAUGGGUUAACGGGAUUGAGCUGACUCAGAGGUACUGGCAUGAGACAGCCCAAUGACCACUAUGGAAUGGAGGACUGUGCGGCCAUCCAUUCCAAAAUAAAUCCCAUGGAGUCCUGGAAUGAUGCUGUAUACGCAUCCAUUGAAAUGGAUAUGUGAAAUAAAAUCAAGGAAAGCUUAGAAAUUACUAUAAAAUUGCCAUUAUUUCAAUAAGUAAAUGCAUACAUUCAAAAUAAUAAGCAUUGGAAUCAAAUGUAACUUUUAAGUUGUACAUAACAUUUUAUCUGAUAAAAGAAAUUGUCAUACUGUAAAGUUAAACAUAAUUAGUUCUGCAUCUUUAAAAAAAAAAAA